GACAGAGGGUGCAAACGUUGUUCGGAUUCACUGGGCGUAAAGGGUGCGUAGGCGGUCGGGUAAGUCUGACGUGAAAUCUUCGAGCUCAACUCGGAAACUGCGUCGGAUACUAUUCGGCUCGAGGAAUGGAGGGGAGACUGGAAUACUUGGUGUAGCAGUGAAAUGCGUAGAUAUCAAGUGGAACACCAGUGGCGAAGGCGAGUCUCUGGACAUUUCCUGACGCUGAGGCACGAAAGCCAGGGGAGCAAACGGG
rnacentral:rRNA from 1 species